GUGGGGAAUAUUGGACAAUGGGCGAAAGCCUGAUCCAGCAAUGCCGCGUGAGUGAUGAAGGCCUUAGGGUUGUAAAGCUCUUUUACCAGGGAUGAUAAUGACAGUACCUGGAGAAUAAGCUCCGGCUAACUCCGUGCCAGCAGCCGCGGUAAUACGGAGGGAGCUAGCGUUGUUCGGAAUUACUGGGCGUAAAGCGUGCGUAGGCGGUGACUCAAGUCAGAGGUGAAAGCCUGGAGCUCAACUCCAGAACUGCCUUUGAAACUAGGUCGCUAGAAUCUGGGAGAGGUGAGUGGAAUUCCGAGUGUAGAGGUGAAAUUCGUAGAUAUUCGGAAGAACACCAGUGGCGAAGGCGGCUCACUGGACCAGAAUUGACGCUGAGGCACGAAAGCGUGGGGAGCAAACAGGAUUAGAAACCCGAGUAGUCC
rnacentral:rRNA from 1 species